AGGAAGUUUCAAAGUAGAAGAAAAAGGAACAGUCGAGGAUACGUCUCUAUUCCUCGACUGUUCCUUUUUCUUCUACUUUGAAACUUCCUCUUU
rnacentral:pre_miRNA from 1 species